GAUCGACCAUCUAAUUUUCUGAAAUUAACGGUCCUCUUCCUCUUUCUCUCUCUUCACCGCACGACACCAUCUAAACCUCGGAGAGAGAGAGAAAGAGAGAGAGAGAGAGACAACGAAGAAAAGAACCUGUUCUUCACCAGAACAGAGUUUGGUUUUAUAGGAACCCUCCCAUUCAUCCAAUUUAUCGAUCCUCGUCCAUCCCCGUCUUUCUUCUCCUAUUCUCUCUCUCUCUCUUGUUCUUCUUUUUUUCCCCCAAAAAAGUGAGAGAAGAACAAAGGGAAUUGAAGGAAGAGAUUGAAAAAAAAGGGGGGAUACCCAGAUAAUUAAUUCGGUGAAAUUUCGGAUUUUGAUUAGUGGGUGUUUCUCUUUUCGUGUUUUUAUUACCUUCAGUGGUGGAAGGAAGGGGAAGGGGUUUUUGGUUUGGUGAGUUGAUGGACUUGGAGAGCGUUGAGUGUGUGUCAUCCUCGGACGGCAUGGAUGAGGAUGAGAUCCACGCCAACCAUCAUCAUCACUCUGAGUUUUCUUCCACAAAGCCUCGCAACGGAGGCACUAGUAACAUCAAUUCUGUGGGUCCCAACGCAAUUGCUCCGGCAACAAGCGUCCAUGAGUUGCUGGAAUGCCCUGUUUGUACUAAUUCAAUGUACCCUCCAAUUCAUCAGUGUCACAACGGCCACACACUGUGUUCCACGUGUAAAACAAGGGUGCACAACCGAUGUCCCACUUGUAGACAAGAGCUUGGAGAUAUUAGGUGUCUGGCACUGGAGAAGGUGGCUGAAUCACUUGAGUUACCUUGCAAGUACUACUCUCUUGGAUGUCCAGAAAUCUUUCCAUACUACAGCAAGCUCAAGCAUGAGACAGUAUGUAAUUUUAGACCAUAUAGUUGUCCUUAUGCUGGAUCAGAGUGUUCUGUUGUCGGGGAUAUUCCUUUCCUUGUUGCUCAUUUGAGGGAUGACCAUAAAGUGGACAUGCACACCGGAUGCACAUUCAACCAUCGUUAUGUGAAAUCAAAUCCCCGUGAAGUAGAGAAUGCAACCUGGAUGCUCACAGUAUUUCAUUGUUUUGGCCAAUAUUUCUGCCUUCAUUUUGAAGCUUUCCAGCUUGGCAUGGCACCUGUAUACAUGGCAUUCCUUCGUUUUAUGGGUGAUGAGAAUGAAGCUCGGAAUUAUAGCUAUAGCCUAGAGGUUGGGGCCAAUGGUAGGAAACUCAUUUGGGAGGGUACACCACGAAGUGUUCGGGAUAGUCACCGUAAGGUUAGGGAUAGCCAUGAUGGGCUCAUCAUUCAAAGAAACAUGGCCCUAUUUUUCUCUGGUGGGGAUAGAAAGGAACUGAAGCUCAGAGUCACAGGAAGAAUAUGGAAGGAACAACAGCAACAGAAUUCGGAAGCUGGGGUGUGCAUGCCAAAUCUCUGUAGUUGACACGUUAUUUGAAGGGGAAUUUUUAUCGUGUGUUUCUGACACUCUUUUGAGAUAUAUUUAUACCAACUUUGCGCAUGUUGUAAUAGAUUAAGGCACUAAGGUGACUCUAAAAUUUUCAGAUUUCAUAAGCUGUAUAAUAAACAAGUUUUCUUCCUUCAAAAUUUGCUUGAUUGGAAUUCGACACUGGAAAUUGGAAUUCG